rnacentral:rRNA from 1 species
GACGAACGCUGGCGGCGUGCUUAACACAUGCAAGUCGAACGGAAAGGCCCUGCUUUCAGGGUGCUCGAGUGGCGAAAGGGUGAGUAAAACGUGUGUGUUCUCCCCUCCACUUCGGGAUAAGCCUGGGAAACUGUGGCUAAUAUCGGGGAGGAGCCAUUCUUAGUGUUAUGGUUGGAAAGUUUUUUCGGUGUGGGAUGAGCCCGCGGCCUAUCUGCUUGUUGGUGGGGUAAUGGCCUACCAAGGCGGGGGCGGGUAGGCGGCCUGAGAGGGUGGGCGGCCAACAUGGGGCUGGGAUACGGCCCAAGCUCCCACGGGGGGCAAGAGGGGGGAAUAUUGCAAAAAGGGGGCGAGCCUGAUGCAGCGACGGCGGGGGGGGGAUGACGGCCUUCGGGGUGGAAACCCCCUUCGCUAGGGACGAAGCUUUUUGUGACGGUACCUAGAGAAGAAGCACCGGCUAACUACGUG